AAGUCACAAGCAGUAAAAUCUGCAUCUAAAAGAUUUUGGAGAAGAUUGUCUGGGUCAGAUGGUAAUAUUGCAUUUUUCGCCAAGCUGACUCAUACUGAAACCGCACCAAGCACUCUUCACAUAUUCGUGUUCGAUUCGGCACCAACGAAUAUCGAAUCAGUGUACAACAGGUACUCCGGUAUGUUCACUGCUCCUCGCCAUGGCACCUACGUCUUUAGCUGGACCGUGUUUUGUACUCCAGGUGCCCAUAUCAGCUCGCAGCUAAUUAAGAAUGUGGAU